CACAGAUGAGAAGUCUAAAAAUUUCCCUUUUCAUUUCCUCUCUUGUGUGACUUUGUCAUUUUUAAAAAAACUGGUCACAGAAAAGGGAAUUUUGCCCAUGCUUUUAAGGAGUUUAUCUCGACUGAGUAGCUUCCCCGCCACUCCUCUAAAAUCCCUCCUCAAAAACCCCAAGUUAAAAAAAAAAAAGAUCUAUUCUUGUAGAUUUUUUUUGUGUGGGUCUAUGUUUCAUUCAUCUGCUUUCAGGCUGGAUUUAUAACAAGCAGAACUUUUAAAACGCUUCAGGAAAAAGAGGACCUUAGAACUGAAGGAGCAAGAUUCCAACAUCACACUGUUUUUGUUAGCUGUGUGUGUGUGUUUCCUGUGUAUCCAAAAGACAGAGGAGAUGAAAAAGCAAAAGAAAAGAAACGAGGAAUCAGAUUGGAAAGAAGGUUUCUCCAGGACGUCACCUGUAUGAGGUACACAGUGUGAUGACACACUCUGUGCUUUUCCUACUUGUGUCCACGUGAGUGUCUGGAGCUGCCCUUCAAGGAGAGCAAUAGAUGAAUGAUUCUGCCUUCCCGCUGAGAGGGAUGUGGGUCCUGCGGAUGGUCGGGGUGAAGCUUCCUCUCCUUUCUGCUGACAGCACUUCCUCAUUAAAUGCAGAGAUCUGCAAAAAGGGAAAAUAAAAACACAAGAAGAAAAAUG
rnacentral:lncRNA from 10 species